rnacentral:lncRNA from 1 species
AUUCUUUGCAAGAUUUAUGGCUGACUUGUUGUCAUUUGUAGCACCGGGGGUUUCUUCACUUCGACCUUCAUUUCUUCUAACACGUUUAUGGCUGACUUGCUUGACAAGCUGCAUAGGAUCCAACUAUAUAUUCAACCUCACAUGACGAUAAUGCCACCACAAGUUGCUUUCUCGAGCACCAUGAGAUUUAUGCACCAAACACUUGAAAGAAA